GUGCUUUUGGCCGAGUUGGUCUAAGGCGUGGCGUUAAGGCCGCCAUCUCUUCGGAGGCGUGGGUUCGAAUCCCACAGAGCACA